GCUCCCCAGGAGGGGCUGCCCCCCUUGCCCACCAUCACCCCGGCCCGCUCGCGCCCCCACCCCCGGGGGCACCAGUGCCAACGGCAGCUCCCCCAGCCCCGGACCUACCUGCACGGCUCAACCAAGCCUAGAAGUGGGGGCGGGGAACCUUCCGCCCUCCUCUGUCUCUCAUUGGCCCUCGCAGGGCUCAUCGUGGGCGCCAUUGGCUGGCAGCGAGUGUCCGUCAGGGCGGCGGGGCGGGACAGAGGAGGAGAGGGAUGCUGGUGCCUCUGCGUCUCUAUCUCUGUAGAAAGUCCAGCAGAUAGAAGAUCAGGAGGGCCUAGGAGGAAAGGGCGCACGUCUGACAGACAAGGAAAGACUCAAGAUGUAGCUGAUACUGUUUCCAGAUACCAGGGGUGAAACCCCGCGGAGGUGUCCAGAGGCAGCUGGAAUCUUGGGACUUCAGAGUAGGUGGACAGUCUAGACUCGAGGGGCACAGCGUUUACAACCUAAAUGGAGUGGUCUAGGACAUGCUAGAGGACAAAUUCUCCCCAAAAAUGUUAACGAGCACCCACAUUUAAAGUUAAGAGGAUGAAAAAGGAACAGAAUAGUAAAGCUCCAUGAAAAUUAAAGGAGCAAAGGUCUCUGGUAAAACAAUAAAGCUAUAGGAGCAAUGCAGCUCUUUUUUUUCUUUUUUUUUGCAACACAGGUCUUAGGGUUCACUUACGGGACUCUCCUUGGGCUCUGGUAAUCAUGUGACAACGAGUAUGGAAAUCCAG
rnacentral:lncRNA from 1 species